UUGAACGCUGGCGGCAUGCCUUACACAUGCAAGUCGAGCGGUAGAGGGGCAACCCUUGAGAGUGGCGAACGGGUGAGUAAUAUAUCGGAACGUGCCCAGUCGUGGGGGAUAACGCAGCGAAAGCUGCGCUAAUACCGCAUACGAUCUGUGGAUGAAAGCGGGGGAUCGCAAGACCUCGCGCGAUUGGAGCGGCCGAUAUCAGAUUAGGUAGUUGGUGGGGUAAAAGCCCACCAAGCCGACGAUCUGUAGCUG
rnacentral:rRNA from 1 species